AACGAACGCUGGCGGCAGGCCUAACACAUGCAAGUCGAACGAGAAGCCACCUUCGGGUGGUGGACAGUGGCAGACGGGUGAGUAACGCGUGGGAACGUGCCUUUCGGUUCGGGAUAACACAGGGAAACUUGGGCUAAUACCGGAUACGCCCUUCGGGGGAAAGAUUCAUCGCCGAAAGAUCGGCCCGCGUUGGAUUAGCUAGUUGGUAGGGUAAUGGCCUACCAAGGCGACGAUCCGUAGCUGGUCUGAGAGGAUGACCAGCCACACUGGGACUGAGACAUGGCCCAGACUCCUACAGGAGGCAGCAGUGGGGAAUAUUGGACAAUGGGCGAAAGUCUGAUCCAGCCAUGCCGCGUGGGUGAAGAAGGCCUUAGGGUUGUAAACCCCUUUCAGAGGGGAAGAUAAUGACGGUACCCGCAGAAGAAGUCCCGGCUAACUCCGUGCCAGCAGCCGCAGUAA
rnacentral:rRNA from 1 species